GACGUAGGGCGCGAGCGUUGUCCGGAUUUAUUGGGCGUAAAGAGCUUGUAGGCGGUUUGUCGCGUCUGCUGUGAAAUUUCGGGGCUCAACCCCGAACUUGCAGUGGGUACGGGCAGACUAGAGUGUGGUAGGGGAGACUGGAAUUCCUGGUGUAGCGGUGAAAUGCGCAGAUAUCAGGAGGAACACCGAUGGCGAAGGCAGGUCUCUGGGCCACUACUGACGCUGAGGCGCGAAAGCCAGGGGAGCAAACGGG
rnacentral:rRNA from 1 species